rnacentral:rRNA from 1 species
GUGUCAGCAGCCGCGGUAAUACGAAGGGGGCUAGCGUUGUUCGGAUUUACUGGGCGUAAAGCGCGUGUAGGCGGGCUGGAAAGUUGGGGGUGAAAUCCCGAGGCUCAACCUCGGAACUGCCUCCAAAACUUCCAGCCUGGACUCAAGUAGAGGCAAGUGGAAUUGCGAGUGUAGAGGUGAAAUUCGUAGAUAUUCGCAGGAACACCAGUGGCGAAGGCGACUUGCUGGACUUGUAGUGACGCUGAGACGCGAAAGCGUGGGGAGCAAACAGGAUUAGAAACCCGUGUAGUCC